rnacentral:lncRNA from 1 species
AUGACACAGUUUGGUUUUGAUCUGGAUGGCAUGAACCAUGUUGCCAAGAAUAUGCACAUACCUAUAACACACAAGACGGUCCAGAAACCUGCUCAGGGGUGUCUCUGGGUUCCCCUCACACGAGGCCAUGGACACCAUGGAGCUCUUGCGAUCUUUCAGGGUGCCCAUGGGAGGACUGUAGGUGGCCAGAGUAGAUGUGUUCCUCUGCUGCAAACACACGCCACCCAACGCACACAGGAAUCCUGUCAUAUUGAUCCAUUCCUGAGGGAUGAGACACAGGAUUUAUGGAGAACAGCCAACAUUUCGUCAUGUCAUGUUUCGCUGUUGUUUUUUUUUUAAACAAUGGUCAGUUAAAUUUUUAUAGAGGUUAAUAAGUAUAUAAUAAUUAUAGUAAUUAGUAUAAUGUUAUACAUAUAUACAUACAGGGGUGCACAUAAGUUUUUCAGGCUGUUCUCAUGAGUGUGUCCUGCACACUGCACAUUGUGUGUCCCAUUAAAUAUAACUAUAUUAAAAAAUUAAUAAUAUUAAUAAUAGUAUUAUUGCACUUUAUUUAGUUAAAAUAAUUAAAGUACAAUAAUAAACAAAAUAAAAAAAUAAAGUGUGAUAAUAUUAUUAUAUUUUCAAUUAAAGAAUGAGUAUUAAAUAAAAAUACAAUUAUUUUAUUGUACACUUAAAAAUACAAUUCUAAUAUUUAAUAUUGAUAUUUUCUUUUCUUUUUUCUUUUUAUACUUUUUAUAUGAAUUUUCAAUAUUUUUAAACCUAAAAUCAGCAAGCUUUUAUUUCGGUGGGUUGCCAAAACAUAUUUGUGUGUGUGUGUUUAAAAAAAUGACUGAAUUAAACUGACUUUUUAAACAAUUCUCAAAUAAUACAAUAAUAACUAAUUUGUAAAAAAAAAAAAAAAAAAAAAAACACAAUUAUUUAUACUUAACAUAGUGUAUCUGAUACAUUAGAAUGUUAAUUAAAAUAUAUGUACAGAACCUACUCUAAUUUCAUAAUGUUGCUGUGAUUCCUCAGGACAGGAGAAAGGAGCCUCAUCCCUUAUAUAUAUAUAUAUAUUAUUCUUUUUUUUUUUUUUUACAAAUUAGCCUAAUGUACAGAAAAGUUCUGAAGAAUCACCCACAUGUAGACAAAAAUCUAUUUUCUACUGUAGGGUGACUGACCUGACUGUCUUCUAGUUUCGUUUUUGGGUGGCUUAAAAUUAAUUUGGUUGCAUGUUCCAAUUUGGCAUGUGUGUCCUCCCAGGCCUGAAAUGACCAAACAGAGCUGUUAAAACCCGUCAUACAUGUUAUCUUCAAAUUAGACCACAAGAAGUUGAUUUUUUUACACAAACAACAUACAUGUUAUACUUCAAAUUAGACCACAAGAAGUUGAUUUUUUUUACUACAAACAACCAAAAUAGCACACAAGUACUGAACUGUGAAAUCCAACCACUAUAGUUUGGAAAACAAAUCAAGUUUUGCAUAUUCUAGAAGGCUCCGUCUCAAAACAAUUAUGUUGGAUAAUAUAAUGGCACACAACCAGGACAAUUCAAAUGUGUUCGUCAACCAACCAGAAUGAGUCUACUACUGUCCAGUAGCAUUAAAUGUGUGAUCUCUGACCUCUGUGUUUCCCGGGGUGGGCAGCUCAAUCCUCCGAAGCAAAGCCAUUACUCUCUUCUGUAGAGCCGAACGACCUAGAAAAAUCAGAGAACUCACAAAAACUGUGCUGCCCUCUAGAGACACCUGUAACACCACUCACAAAUCUCAAAAAACAGAGGUACGUGUCUGAAUCUGUGCAUACAAACUAGUAUAUCAGACGGACCUGUAAUCAUCAUGUUACUGACAGAUGCAAACUCCAUGAACGUGUUGUAAUUUGGCAGAAGGGACUGCACAGGGAUGUCUUCUGCACUGCAGCGGAUGUCUGCCUCCUCACACAGGUAGCGUAAACAGGACAUGGCCACCAGAACUGCCUCCAUGUCUGGACUCCACAGGAACAUGUAAAGACAGACCUCCAGCUUGGUCUGGGCCUGCCGGCAGAUGGCGAUGUUACUGCCUGCUGUGGCUCGAUCCUGUACGAGAAGAAUGGAUAAAACAAAGAAAAAAAAUUAUAUUCAUCUCCAUAUAAGCAAUAUUUAUUAUUUAAUAUUUUUAACCCUUUUUUUUAUUUCCUGAUAUCCUUGUUCUUUUAGUACACAGCGAAGUCAGGUCAAACACACUGCAUUGUGGGAUAUAGUAUAGUAGGGUAUUUUGCCAAUAAUAAUAAUACUUUUAGAUCACCUGGGAUAAG